rnacentral:rRNA from 1 species
GACUCCUACGGGAGGCAGCAGUGGGGAAUUUUGGACAAUGGGGGCAACCCUGAUCCAGCAAUGCCGCGUGUGUGAAGAAGGCCUUCGGGUUGUAAAGCACUUUUGUCCGGGAAGAAAUCGCACCUGAUAAUACCGGGUGUGGAUGACGGUACCGGAAGAAUAAGGACCGGCUAACUACGUGCCAGCAGCCGCGGUAAUACGUAGGGUCCAAGCGUUAAUCGGAAUUACUGGGCGUAAAGCGUGCGCAGGCGGUUGUGCAAGACCGAUGUGAAAUCCCCGGGCUUAACCUGGGAAUUGCAUUGGUGACUGCACGGCUAGAGUGUGUCAGAGGGGGGUAGAAUUCCACGUGUAGCAGUGAAAUGCGUAGAGAUGUGGAGGAAUACCGAUGGCGAAGGCAGCCCCCUGGGAUAACACUGACGCUCAUGCACGAAAGCGUGGGGAGCAAACAGGAUUAGAUACCCUGGUAGUCCACGCCCUAAACGAUGUCAACUAGUUGUUGGGGAUUCAUUUCCUUAGUAACGUAGCUAACGCGUGAAGUUGACCGCCUGGGGAGUACGGUCGCAAGAUUAAAACUCAAAUGAAUUGACGGGGA